rnacentral:lncRNA from 1 species
CACUUCUCUCCUUCAUGCCCAUGCAUUUCUCUUGUUCGACGAAAUGCUUGAAAGAAAUACGAUGGCUACAAUCAGCCAAGAAAGAGUGAACUGAUAUAGGACGGGUAGCAGCCAGGAAAGAGUGAACUGAUAUAGGACAGGGGCCGCGCGAACGUAGGCCCCCACUUCCACAAAUUAUGACGUAGGCUCUCCCAACUUGGGGAGACCUUAGACCGGCACCCUCCUAAGUGCAAUGGAGGUCACUAAUCUAGACCAUAGGCCUACUUGAUCGCCCAUUGAUCCCGUCCAGGUAAGUAUGUUUAUAAUGCUUUUGCUCUUCCUAUUUAUCUGCACAUGGACUGCCUCGCUUUUUGUCAAGCCUCGAUGUGGGAUUGUGUUAAGCGUAAAGAAGACGUGUUUUGGUUAUGAUCUGAGAUGUAGAGAGAUCGCAUAGAUCAGGCAAGUCGUCCUUGGCAAGAAAAUAACCUUUUUCUCUUCACGUUUAAGACACUCUUCCUUUCCUCAAAUGGCACUGCUCUUGUUGGCUAAGAUUAUAAAAUUUAUAAGUUCAAAGAUAUUUUUCUUCAUUUUGUAAAAAAAAAAAAAAAAUGCUUCUUAAAGAGGGAAAAGAGAAAUAUUAUGGGACCGUUGGGAAAGAAGAGAAGACCUAGUAUGAGAGAGCAGAGAUUGUGAAAUUGGCCAAGGUGGAUAAGGGUUACUGCAAAGCACAACCCAAAUUAAUUUGCUGGGAGCAGGCAAGUCAUGGCCAUCAAAUUAUGUUACAUAAACAAAAUUUCAAAUCUCUAUUCAUAGCCAAUCAAAGAAUAAAGAUUGAAAAUCAC